rnacentral:rRNA from 1 species
CGUGGCGAACGGGGGAGUAACGCGUGAGGAACCUGCCUCAAAGAGGGGGACAACAGUUGGAAACGACUGCUAAUACCGCAUAAGCCCACGGGUCGGCAUCGACCUGAGGGAAAAGGAGCAAUCCGCUUUGAGAUGGCCUCGCGUCCGAUUAGCUAGUUGGUGAGGUAACGGCCCACCAAGGCGACGAUCGGUAGCCGGACUGAGAGGUUGAACGGCCACAUUGGGACUGAGACACGGCCCAG